AGGUCUCAAGACCUUCUUGCUUUUGUUAGCUUGGAAGGUAACUCUUUACACUGCUUCUCUCUGUAUAAUUCAAGAUGCCAUUUUUCUGUGCCUAUCUACACUUGUCAAGGAUUCAGAUGCUUCUCACAUCAAUUAUUAAAUUACCUAUCUCAUUUAUCCACAAAUGCUCUCUGUAUUCUCUGCUGCCUUUAUCCUUCUCCUGAAUUCCUUUUCUUGGACAAUUACAAGUGUAUGGAUUCAAUACCUGUAUCAUAUUUAAUGCAAGAAAACUAUGGCAUAGUCACUGAGUUAGAAGCAAGCUGAUGUUACAUAUCAGACCUGCACAAUUGCUGAAACAGAGAAGUAGGGAGAGAGAGAUAGAAAGGUACUAGGUGAGGAGAGAACUAGAUUGGGCGAGAAGAGAAAUAGAAAGGAUGAGAUUAGAAUUGGAGAAGAAGAGAGAAAGAAGAAUU
rnacentral:misc_RNA from 1 species